AACGAACGCUGGCGGCAUGCCUAACACAUGCAAGUCGAACGAGGCCUUCGGGUCUAGUGGCGCACGGGUGCGUAACGCGUGGGAACCUGCCCUUAGGUUCGGAAUAACUCCCCGAAAGGGGUGCUAAUACCGGAUAAUGUCUUCGGACCAAAGAUUUAUCGCCUUUGGAUGGGCCCGCGUCGGAUUAGCUAGUUGGUAGGGUAAAAGCCUACCAAGGCGACGAUCCAUAGCUGGUCUGAGAGGAUGAUCAGCCACACUGGGACUGAGACACGGCCCAGACUCCUACGGGAGGCAGCAGUGGGGAAUAUUGGACAAUGGGCGAAAGCCUGAUCCAGCAAUGCCGCGUGAGUGAUGAAGGCCUUAGGGUUGUAAAGCUCUUUUACCCGGGAUGAUAAUGACAGUACCGGGAGAAUAAGCUCCGGCUAACUCCGUG
rnacentral:rRNA from 1 species